UUCCGGUUGAUCCUGCCGGACCCGACUGCUAUCAGAGUGAGAUUAAGCCAUGCGAGUUAACGUAGCAAUACGUGGCGCACGGCUCAGUAACACGUAGUCAACAUGCCCAGAGGACGUGGAUAACCUCGGGAAACUGAGUCUAAACCGCGAUAAGUGAGGAUUUCUGGAAUGGUUCCUGACUAAAAUCUAUAUGGCCUCUGGAUUGGACUGCGGCCGAUCAGGCUGUUGGUGAGGUAAUGGCCCACCAAACCUGUAACCGGUACGGGCUCUGAGAGGAGGAGCCCGGAGAUGGGCACUGAGACAAGGGCCCAGGCCCUAUGGGGCGCAGCAGGCGCGAAACCUCUGCAAUAGGCGAAAGCCUGACAGGGUUACUCUGAGUGACUUUCGCUAAGAAAGUCUUUUGGCACCUCUAAAAAGGGUGCAGAAUAAGGGGUGGGCAAGUCUGGUGUCAGCCGCCGCGGUAAUACCAGCACCCCGAGUGGUCGGGACGAUUAUUGGGCCUAAAGCAUCCGUAGCCGGUCCUGCAAGUCUUCCGUUAAAUCCAGCUGCUCAACAGAUGGGCUGCGGGAGAUACUACAGGGCUAGGAGGCGGGAGAGGCAAGCGGUACUUUAUGGGUAGGGGUAAAAUCCGCUGAUCCAUAGAAGACCACCAGUGGCGAAGGCGGCUUGCCAGAACGCGCUCGACGGUGAGGGAUGAAAGCUGGGGGAGCAAACCGGAUUAGAUACCCGGGUAGUCCCAG
rnacentral:rRNA from 1 species